UUUAGCAUAUCAAUAAGCGGAGGAAAAGAAACCAACAGGGAUUGCCUCAGUAACGGCGAGUGNAAGCGGCAACAGCUCAAAUUUGAAAUCUGGCUCCUCCGGGGCCCGAGUUGUAAUUUGUAGAGAGUGUUUCGGGUGAGACCACGGUCUAAGUCUAUUGGAACAUUACGUCAUAGAGGGUGAGAACCCCGUAUGCGACCGUGGCUCGAGCCCAUGUGAAGCCUCUUCGACGAGUCGAGUUGUUUGGGAAUGCAGCUCAAAAUGGGUGGUAAAUUUCAUCUAAAGCUAAAUACUGGCUGGAGACCGAUAGCGCACAAGUAGAGUGAUCGAAAGAUGAAAAGCACUUUGGAAAGAGAGUUAAACAGUACGUGAAAUUGUUGAAAGGGAAGCGCUGGCAACCAGACCUGUCCGUAGGCGAUCAGCCGCUGUUCUCAGCGGUGCACUCGUUCUGCGAUCAGGCCAGCAUCGGUUUCGGCGGUCGGAUAAAGGCCCGGGGAACGUGGCUCCCUCUCGGGGGAGUGUUAUAGCCCCGGGCGCAAUGCGGCCAGCCGGGACCGAGGACCGCGCUUCGGCUAGGAUGCUGGCGUAAUGGUUGUCAGCGACCCGUCUUGAAACACGGACCAAGGAGUCUAACAUCUAUGCGAGUGUUUGGGUGUCAAACCCAUGCGCGGAAUGAAAGUGAACGGAGGUGAGAACCCUUUAGGGCGCAUCAUCGACCGAUCCAGAUGUUUUCGGAUGGAUUUGAGUAUGAGCAUAGCUGUUGGGACCCGAAAGGUAAAUAAAUUAUCCCCCCAUUUUUUAAUGCGAAUUAUAAGCUAACUUUUCCCAAAGAUGGUGAACUAUGCCUGAAUAGGGUGAAGCCAGAGGAAACUCUGGUGGAGGCUCGCAGCGGUUCUGACGUGCAAAUCGAUCGUCAAAUUUGGGUAUAGGGGCGAAAGACUAUC
rnacentral:rRNA from 1 species